UCUGAAUGACAUUGGAGUAUGGGACAAGAGGAAAUAAAAUUCUGUCAGCAGUUCACAAUACAGGAACAGGAUGUAUUACAUACACAAAUUUGAAAAAAAUAAAUAAAUAAAUUCAAGACAUAUAACAAUGAUAGUGACACUGGAGACCAAAAAAAAAAAAAUUUCCUUCACUUCAAGACUUAUUUACCCAGUGCAUACGACUACUUAUGUGGAGUAAAUAUUUAGAUGAGUGCUAAAAAUCGUAAUAGGGCAUUUGGUCUAGUGGUAUGAUUCUCGCUUUGGGUGCGAGAGGUCCCGAGUUCGAUUCUCGGAAUGCCCCAGUCAAAUUAAGGUGAUUAUGAAUCCUACACUUCUUUUUAUUAUUUCUUUUAAUUAAAUUUAAUGGAAACAAGGAUGAAAUAUCAUAAAUGAAGUCAACUCUUUCAUUAUACAAAACUGGUUAACAGAUCUUCGCCAAGACACUGGAAUGGACCAAACUUGAGCUAGGUCUGUUGAUUGCUGCCGAAGCCAUACGAUAAAUAUUAAAAAGUAUGUUUACAUUUCAAGAAAAGUAUUAGCAGCACCAGCAUCACUACAAACAAUCCUGCACAAAUUUACACCACAUUGAGCAUUACACAAACGUCUUUUACCAUUCACAGUUUGUAAUUUUUCAUGAAUAAUUUUUUUUUAAAGAAUUUUUCAUGAAUAAUAUAACUCAAAUUGCAAUUUCAGAAAAGUAACUUCACAUUUUGCAUGCACGUAGGCACUUUUUAUAGUCCAAAACCAGAGAACUGCCUCGUUGACUGUUAAUUGUAGCCUCUGAGAUCAAUACUGCCUUUGAUUGCCUAUGGGGAAUAGAUCAAAGGGUUUUGUGACAUACUCUUCUCUGGAAGCAUAAUAGUCAAAAGGCAGACCAGAACAGUUUAUAUACUUGACAAGCAAGAAGCAAAUUACAAGCUUCAAGGGGCAAAAGAAUUGACUACAACAGGGCAUUUGGUCUAGUGGUAUGAUUCUCAUUUUGGGUGCGAUCCCGAGUUCGAUUCUCGGAGUGCCCCAUUCAAAUUAAGGUGAUCAUGAAUCCUGUACAAUUUUUUUCUUAAAGUCUCAAUAAAUCAACUACAAGGAAAAACAAUUAUCAUAUUUGACAAUCUCCAAGAAGAACAAAUGAGAAAUGAAGUGCAUUUUGGAGUCAGUUUAGGGAAAAUGAAAAAAGGCAAAUUUUUGUUACAUUGUUAAACAUGACAUAUCUUGUCAAGCACUUACCAGUUAUACCAUUUAACAAUCCCAGGUAAUGUAAUGAGAGGCCAUGAUGGAGAUCAAUAAAGAUAAUUGUGAAAGACUUGCCAUUGAUUAGAAUAAGAAUUAUUUUAUAGUUAUUUAGAGUGAUUUCCUUUAUUCCCUUUCCUUAAUUAUUAUUAGGUAAUGUUCCAUAUUUUCAUCGGGAUUUCUGGUAUAAGAAUGAAGGUGGUUUUUUAUUGUUAGAGGCCUUUUGAUUAUUGAAUAAAAUUACAGCACUCUCUCUCCUGGCUAUCUAUUUUUUCCCUCUCUCCCCCUUCUUUCUCCGCUUCCCUUUUUCCAUUCUUCUACAAUUCUCAUACAACUCUAAGGUUUGUUCGAUUUGGUUCAUCCUUCUUCAGGUCAGACUUGUCAAACAGGUUCAUGAUCCAAGGGACAGAGUAAUAAAAUUCAACAGGGCAUUUGAUCUAGUGGUAUGAUUCUCGUUUCGGGUGCAAGAGGUCCGAAGUUCAAUUCUCAGAAUGCCCCAUUUUACGCAAUAUUUUAGUCAGCCACAAAGCACCUUUUUACUUCCUAGUCAAGCUGGACAGAUCUGCUUGUAAAUAAAAGAAUCAAGACA